UGCAUCUUCCUACCCAAACAUUCACUUAAUACUGUAUGAAAUGUCUGAAAAUAAACCCCUAUCUUUUGUCAUUUGAGACUUUAGGUUACAAAACUAUAACCGAGUUGAAGUGUAUCUUACCAAAAUAUAGUAAUACUAUGUUAUUUCUUUUUAACAACUCAGAUAUUAAAUGAAAUUACAGGAAGCAUUACUCUAAAUUUGCGGAGAUUUAAGUUCACAAUUUUGCAUGCUCUUGACAAGGUUUUCAGAAUGGUUCAUAGUUUUGACUGCCCUCACUUUUGGGUUCCUGACUCAAAAUGCACAUCAGGCUCCACUUCUUUGAAACUCAUAAAGAGCAAGCCUUUCACAGAAAAAAAAAAUGGUUCUUUCAGGGUAUUUUAGUGGGUACCUAAAAUAGAGAGCCAUUUGUUUAAGUCUUGGCUUUCAAGAAAUCCCAAAAAAGUGGGCUGUAAGAUGCAAAAACGUUGCCAAAGAACAUGUGCUAAAAAAGACAACAGACAUCUUUGAUGUUUUGUACUAUCAAAGCCUCAUAAAAUAUGAAAACAUUAAAAAAAAAAAAAAAGCAGCUAGUCAUUCCUUUGCCCAUUGACUGCUCUCUGUUCUGUGAGUGGUCCACAAGUAAAACUGUUUCAAGCUGCCAUUCUGCAUGUGGGAACCGGGGAUGUUCUGUCUUGCACGCAGGAAUGUUAACGUUCUCGGAGUGUAAACACCGCUGUUAUUGUUAGCACUGGUGUGAGUGAGUAACAGUGCUUACGGUGAGAAACAUGCUUCAACUGCACGGCUUUUUGGCACUGAAUUAGCUUCACCUCUUUUUCCUUCCCCCAAGGCAAAAACACCUGGAGGGAAGCAAGCAUAUAUCUACGACGUUUUUAAGCAGCUGAUUUGUAGAAAGCGCGAUAAUAACGUAAUGGGGGCAAGAUGGUCACGACAACCAUGCUUUCUUAAGCUGGCUCAGCCAGCUUCCAUUCCCGCCUGAUGCCGGAGGGAACGCUUUCACCAGGCGCAGACAGGGGAAGCUGCAGUCCCUCCUCCGAGGAGAUGCAACAAUGUUGGGGAAACUUUCGUUAUAAUCCCGGAAGACUUCAUGGGAUUGCCCAGUGCUAACAGAAGAUUUGCAGACUUAUUUGCUGAGGCAACACCAGGGGCACGAAUGAAGCAUCUUCCUGUUACUGUAUAGCAUGGAGAUAAAGAAUUCACAUUCAAGGGAACUUAAAUAAAAACUGCAGGAAAUUCCUUUAUUGUAUAGAAAAGCAGCGCAAGUGUUUUGAUUUUAAAAUAAAACUAAUCUUACUAUUCAA